AACUUGCUUUAUCAAACUCAACACGGAGAGUUUUGCAGUUUUCAAUUAAUAUUGUAAACUUUUUUUAUUCAUUAUCAACGAUGGUAUAUGAAUUAGACAGUAAAAAGUAUUUUUAUUUAGUGUGAAAACGCAAAUUAUGGUAAAUAUUGUGAGGUAAUAAAGAAAUAUAGUUUUUUUGUGCGAAAAGGGGAGUGUUAUAAGAUCAAUUUAUUUAUCAUCGAUAACGGAUCGGUCUGUAAGUAGUAGAUGGUUGUAUCUUUUAUAAUGGCGUAUUAUUGUCAUGAUCCAACUGGAUAUUAGAGUUUAAAAUUGUAUGGUGUAUUUCAUAUAAUAGGCAAAAUAACCAUGAAAACAGGUGUAACUUAUAAAACUUUAUAUUACGGGUACGUUUUAUUCGACUUUAAAUUACAGUCGUCGUUAAGUCGUCGGUUCGUCAAGUCUUUAAAUUAAGUAAAACCAACUACCCACAAUGUCGAAAUGUGAUGUGUGUAAUAAAUCUAUUACCAAAUCUUUACCAGGAGUGGAAUGUAGUAAAGUUUGACAAACAAACAAAUCAGUGCUUUAAAGGCAGCCUCUAAUCUGACAGGAUUGUCUGACGUGGAUCAACUAUUACUCCAGAAGAUGAAGAAGGAAAGGACACUCAUGUACAAAUCAAUGAUAGGAAAUAACUAAGCAAUAUCUCAAAAGAAGUGGGGAAAGCCAUUAAAAAAGAAUUACGGGAACUAAAUGAAUCCCUACAACUUUACAGUGCAAAAUUAGACGAAGAAGUAGAAAGCAUCGAUAAAUUCAAGAAAACAAUAAAAUUGCUUCAACAAAAAAACACGGAGGUGACGAAUAAAAAUAAUAACUUAGAAACACGUCUGGGAGCACUCGAACAACGUUUACAGGAAAUGUACCACGAGAAAUUGUCAUCAAAAAUAGAAAGUACUAAUAUGCCUCACAAUAAUAAUGAGGAUGCUAAACAAUGGAAUACAAAAUAAGCAACGAUUUCAAAUUGGAAAAGACAAACUGCAAACAUACGAUUUGAACUCAAAGAUGAACUCACCCAACAAAAUUGGUUAACAGCAGCUAAAAGGGAGAAGAUCAAAGUAUCAGAUAUUUACCCAUCAGAGAUCAUCCGAAAAUCACAAUACAGCGUUCAUAAGAGAAGCUAUGAUUAAAAUGAACAAGCAAAUUUUCUGAAAUGCUAGGCAGGAAUUAUAAAAUAGUGAUUUUUACCUUAUGGCUGUGGUACUUGACGAGCUCGUGUCGUUCACGUAGCAAUAUGCGCCAGUGUAUAACACCACGAACCCGCCAGUUAAAGAGAAUGGUAUCGCCGUUGACAGGAACCACCAGGGACCGAGACCGUCCAUCAUACCGUAGAUUACCAAGAGAAUACCAGUCAUUGACAUACCUGGAAAUAAAUGAUUAUGAUAAUCUU